rnacentral:rRNA from 1 species
ACGGGUGAGUAACGCGUGGGAAUCUACCGUGCCCUGCGGAAUAGCUCCGGGAAACUGGAAUUAAUACCGCAUACGCCCUACGGGGGAAAGAUUUAUCGGGGUAUGAUGAGCCCGCGUUGGAUUAGCUAGUUGGUGGGGUAAAGGCCUACCAAGGCGACGAUCCAUAGCUGGUCUGAGAGGAUGAUCAGCCACAUUGGGACUGAGACACGGCCCAAACUCCUACGGGAGGCAGCAGUGGGGAAUAUUGGACAAUGGGCGCAAGCCUGAUCCAGCCAUGCCGCGUGAGUGAUGAAGGCCUUAGGGUUGUAAAGCUCUUUCACCGGAGAAGAUAAUGACGGUAUCCGGAGAAGAAGCCCCGGCUAACUUCGUGCCAGUAGCCGCGGUAAUACGAAGGGGGCUAGCGUUGUUCGGAAUUACUGGGCGUAAAGCGCACGUAGGCGGAUAUUUAAGUCAGGGGUGAAAUCCCAGAGCUCAACUCUGGAACUGCCUUUGAUACUGGGUAUCUUGAGUAUGGAAGAGGUAAGUGGAAUUCCGAGUGUAGAGGUGAAAUUCGUAGA